rnacentral:lncRNA from 1 species
UAAAUGCGCAACAAUGAUCUACACAAUUUAAAAAUAUAAUCUUUCACAUUUAGCCACUCACACAAGGUUAGACAUCACUUACCUCGACUUGCUCCAAUUUAACCAAGUAGUAUGCUUUUUCCUCAAUUUUCUGAUUCCGGUUGACUCGUAUCUAGUCAGAAAUAAUUCGAUACCGUCAACAAAAAUUAUAGAAUUAAUUUUAUAAGAAAAUACUACAUUUUUCAAUAAAAAUCCGAAAUUAACUCAAAAAUGGCAUGUGGGGCCCACGUCUUGGAAUCCGGUGAAAGUUACGAAAUAUGAACGCCCAUUCAAUCGCGAGUCUAACCAUACCAAAAUGACUAAAUUCCAAUAACAAUUCGACCCUCAAAUCCUCAAAUCUAUCCAUGAGGGUUUUUCAAAUUUUUCCAACUUAAAUCACCAAUUAAAUGUUAAAACAGUGAUGGAUUCGGGUAAUCUAAUCAAGAUUGAGUUAAGAACACUUACCCCGAAGUUUUCUCUGAAAGUCUCCCAAAAAUCGCCUCAAUCCGAGCUCCAAAUCGUUAAAAAUUGAAAAUGGGACUAAGUCCCAUUUUCUAAACUUAAACAUUAUGUCCAGUGGUUUCUUCUUCGCGAACGCAACCCUUGUCUCGCGUUCGCGAACCACAAAUAUGUGUUGCCCAACUUUCCUCUUCGCAAACGUGACCAAUGCUUCGCGAACACGAAGCUUUGCAAACUCAGACUUUCGCGAACGUGUCCCUUAUCUCGCGAACGCGUAGAACAAAAGACUGGGGUUCCCAGCUGCCUCGCUCUCCUUCGCCAACGCGACGCCACUAACGCAUUUGUGAUGCACACACUGCCCUACCCUUCGUGUUCGUGUUCGCGUCCUCUCCUCCGCGAACACAUAGAACAAAAAUUCACCAGCCCUAAACACUCUUCGCGAACGCAAGGCUCCUCUCACGAACGUGAAAGAGGAAACCAGAACAAUUGCAGCAACAGAUAUCAGCCAUCUCACAAAGGCCAAAAAUGAUCCGUUAACCAUCCGGUACAUGCUCGAGCCCCUCGGGACCUCAACCAAAUAUAGCAACAAGUCCUAAUACAUCAUACGAACUUAGUCGAGUCUUCAAAUCACAUCCAACAACACUAAAACAUGAAUCACACAUAGAUUCAAGCCUAAUAAACUUUGAAACUUCCAAUUUCUACAAAUGACUCCGGAGCCUAUCAAAUCAUGUCCAAUUUACCUCGAAUUUUGCGCACAAGUCAUAAAUGACAUAACGGAGGUACUCAAAUUUUCAGAAUCGGAUUUCGACCCUGAUAUAAAAAAGUCAACCCUUCGGUCAAACUUCCCAAAAAUUCAACUUUCGGCAUUUCAAGCCUAAUUCCACUAUGGACUUCCAAAUAAAAUUCUGAUCACGCUCCAAAGGCCAAAAUCACCAUACGGAGCUUUUGGAAUCAUCAAAAUUCUAUUCUGGGGUCGUUUGCACAUAAUUCGACAUCCGUCACUACUUGAACUUAAACUUUUAAUUUUUCAUCAAAAUUCCAUAUCUCGGACUAGGGACCUCGGAAUUUGAUUCCGGGCAUACGUCCAAGUCCCAAUUCCCGAUACGGACAUACCGAAACUGUCAAAACACUAAUCCGAGUCUGUUUGCUAAAAAUGUUGACCAAGGUCAAUUCAAUUGAGUUUUUAAAGCUCUAAUUCACAUUUUAAUUCAUUUUUCGCAUAAAAACUUUCCGAAAUAUUUUACGGACUGUGUACGCAAGUCGAAAAAUGAUAAAUAGUACUUUUGCGAGGUCUUAGAACAUAAAAAUAAUUAUUAAAUUUAAAGAUGACAUUUUUUGGGUCAUCACAGGAUAGGACCGAGACAAGACCUGGGAUAAGUUCAAGGAUGACUUUGAUGCAGACCGGCGAUCUUCCAAAGGCCGAUUCUUGCCUUACGAGAGAGCCAAAAGACACGAUAGCAAAGGGUUUCGAUCCUCAGAUAGGUUCGCUCCCGAUAGAAGAACUGACCGCGGUCGGAACAACCAAUCGCUACAAGAAAAAGAAGUAUCGGGGACCCGGGAUUCCUCAUAUCCCAAGCUGUCAUAUUAUAAUUUCAACAUUAGCGUAGUGGAGCUGGCAUCGAAAAUGAGAAACAUUGAGGAAGCACGGUUCUCGAGGCCAAUCAUAUCUGAUCCCAACCAGAGGGAUCCCAAAUUAAGGUGUGAAUAUCAUGGAACUCGUGGUCACAGAACUGGAGACUGUCGACAUCUACGCGAGGAGGUGGCAACGUUGUUGAAGAACGACCAUCUCUUGGAGUUCUUGAGCGAUCGGGCCAAGAACAAUUACAGCCUCAACCGAGAUAAUGCAGAGCCCUCGCAGAUAGAAGAAGGCCCUCCUCAACUAGUGAUAAGUGGGGAUUUUGAUUGCUUAUUAGCGCUUUUGUUUUAGUCCAAAAGCAUUGAAUUGUGUUCCCGAAACUAAUAAAAUUGUGUGAAAUUGCAGGAGUGCUGGAAGUUGGCCUCUCGAGAUGAAAGACUAAAAAAGGAGUAGUCUGAAGCAAAAGGCAAUAAAGGGUGCAGAAGCAAAAAUGUGCGGUCCGUAAAAGGAAUUCUACGGCCGCAAAAGAAAUUGCGAACCGCAGAAUUCCAUCUGUGGCCGCAAACCAAGAGGAAGAAUUUAGCAGAAAUGUGCGCAAAAUGUGGAACGCACAUGAAUUGUACGGCCGCAAAGCUGGGCUAAUAUUCGAAGAUCAGAGAGUAUGCAAAAAGACCAAUUCCAGGAGCUUCUGUGAAUUGCGGACCGCACAAGAAUUGUGCGGCCGCAGAAGAGUUGCCUUGCAGCCACAGUCCUAAUUGUGCGGACCGUAGAAGAUUUUCCUUGCGGCCGCAACACAGAAAUGUGCGGCCGUAGAAGAUUGCUUCGUGGCUGCAGUUCAAAAAUGUGCAGCCGCAAAACUCCACUUCCUACCAGAUGAAGAAUUCUGCGGACCGCAUAUGGAAUUGUGCAGCCGCAGAACCUCCCGAGGGGUAUUUUUAUCCGACAUUUUCAGCCUUGUAUAAAUAGACGAGUUUCACAAAAUUAGGUCAAGUUUUGAACAUCUGAAGUUGUUGUAGCUGUUUUUCUUGCUACUUUAGGAAGUUUUACUUUGCUUUGGUUUAUUUACAUUAGAUUUAAUCAUUUUAAGCUUCCAUUAUGAGUUUAAUUAAUUUUUCUUCCUUAUUUUCUUCAAAUCCCAUUAUGAGUAGCUAGUCUUUUACUAGGGUUGUGACCCAACCCUUGUGUAUAACCUUAUGGGUAUCUAAUUUAGUACUUUUUUAUGAUUGGGUGUUGAUUAUUUAGUUAAGUUCAUGCUUUAAUUGUAGAAUUAAUGGUUGCAAACAUUAGUUCAUGUCUAUUUGACUUAGUCUCUACUUGAGAAAGAGGGACCUAGUCUAGGAUAACUAGCUACCAAGGAAUUGAGUCAAUUGAGAGAUUGAUGAACCCAAUUAAAGGGUUCAACCUAGGGAUGGUAAUAACCCAACUUGAGCUCUUAUCAACUGUUUUGGGUGAUACCCAUUUGGUCUUGAGAAAGCUAAAUUGAGUAUAACCACUCUCUGACAGAGAGGUAUUGAGUGGGUAAUGUAGAGUGGGUUAUGGUCAAAGCCCUAGGCCUUUUACCCAUUUGGAAAACCCUAAAAACAAAUAUAUCUAGUCUAUUUUCUUUAUUUUGCAAUUUUAUUAACAGUAGAAAUAGAAAACAAAUCCCUGUUGUGGAAGUGCAAAUUAUAUAAUCCAAUUGCUCAUUUGAAAUAUAUACCCUUAACUCCCAUCUUAGCUCCCAGUGGAUUCGACCUCGACUCCUAGUUAUGUAUUUAUUAUUGCAUACGACCGUUUCAUAGUUCUAUUGAGGUGUGCCUUGGACGCGAUCAAUAUUUGGCGUCAUUGCCAGGGAGUUAAAAACGGUGUUAGCUAUAUAUUUGGGUGUGUUUUUGUAAUAUCUUCCUUUCCUUCCAUGUUACUAACUUGUUUGAAAAAUCAUAGCUACAACCAUGGCGAACAAUGAGCUCGAAAAUUUGCCUUUAGGGGAUGUGGACGUUGAGGAUGACCAAGUUGAUGAGGUUCCUCUUGAACCUCAAGUCAAUAGAAAAGGCUGAGUGCCUCAUGAUAAUAUCCCCGCUCCACCUCCACCUCCACCAUGAGUGGCUCCACACCGGGUGUUACCUAAUGAAGGAUAUUCUAGUGCAAUUGUCCCUCCCCAUAUUAGGGCGAGCAACUUUCAAAUCACCAAUGUGAUGCUCACUUUGCUAGAGCAACGAGGUUUCUUCACCGGUGCUCCAAGUCAAAAUGCAUACAAAUAUUUGAAGGGGUUUGUGGACAUGUGUUGGGGGAACAAACAAAAAAAUGUCUCCGAGGAUGCAUUGUGGCUAAGGCUUUUUCCCUUCUCUCUACGGGGAAAAGCUUUAGAUUGGUUAGAACGUUUUCCGAACCAAUCCAUUCACACUUGGGAUGAGUUGGCGGAAAAGCUUAUUUCUAAGUUCUUCUCUCCGAGGCACAUGGCUACACUUAAGGAUGAGAUUUUGGCAUUCAAGCAAGAGCCAAAUGAACCACUACACAAGAUAUGGGAACGUUAUAGAACAAUGGUUAAGGAAUGUCCUAACAACGAUAUGACGGAGAAUAUGAUUCAACAAGCUUUCUAUUGUGGGAUUAACACAACCAACCAAUGUGUAGUGAAUCAACUUGCUAGUGGGAACUUCAUGACUACGCCUUAUGCGGAGGUGUGUGAGAUUUUAGAUGAAAUGGCGAAAACAUCAUCGGCGUGGAAAUCCCGGGCCAAUGUUCCACAAGGUGAUCCGAACGUGAUCCACCUUCACAAAGAGUUGCAUGACCAUGGGUAAGCCAUUGCCGAAUUGACUACCACCAUGAAUUAAUUAGAAAAGGCUCAACUUCAACAAGGAAAAAUCCUAAGCAAGUCAAUGCCAUGGUGGGAGUGAACAUAAUGGUGAACAAAAGAUGGAUCAAGUAUCCACAAGUGCGACAUCGAGUGGAGAAUUAUGUGCAAGAAGAUAGUGGUUUUGAUCAAGAUGAUUCUUACAAUGAACAAGAAGAGGAGGUGCAAUAUGUGAACAACUUUCAAGUGCAACGAAACAACUUCCAAGGCCAAAACCAACAAUAAUGGCGACCUCAAAACAAUCAAGGCAAUUGGAAUUCUAACAACCAAGGAAAUUGGAGUGGCAACAAUCAAGGGAAUUGGCAUAGCAAAAACAAUCAAAGAAAUUGGGGAGGUAACAAUCAAGGCGGAUGGAACAAUAAUCAAGGAAAUCGGGGGUCGGGUUUUCAAAGGCCCCCGAUGUAUCAACAACCAAACAAUCUGCCUCCUUAUCCUCCCCAUGGUACAAGUUCUUUAAACAAUGAGAUGGGGCAUAUUGAGAAAGUGUUCAAAUAAAAAAUGGAAAAGAAUGUCGAUUAAGAUGCCCAACUUGCCUCACACAACACAUCGAUCCACAACUUAGAAGUUCAAAUGGGGAAAAUCUCUCAAGCUCUAAAUUCUCGUCCUAAGGGGGCACUACCAAGUGACACGGUAGUAAACCCAAAGGGUGGAAACAACACAGGUCAUACCAUGGCCGUUACUACAAAAAAUAAAAGAGGAGGGAAUGCACCCACCUCAAGUCAAAAGCAACUUGUGGAUGAUGAGCAAGUGAUACAAGAAGAAGAGGUCUCGAACAAUGUGGUGCAAUCAAAUGAGGAAGUUCGGAUUGAUAUUGAUAAUAAGGUGGAAGAGACUCAAGAGGAGAUGAACCCAUCUAGGGAUCACAUUAUUGACAUACCGGAUCUGGUAGUGCAAAAUGAUAUGGCACCAUUGCCUAAACCUUCACCUCCAUACCCUCAAAAAUUUUCCAAGCAAAAUGGCGAGAAUCAAUUCACGAAGUUCAUUAAAAUGAUGAAGAUUCUCUCAAUCAAUGUGCCAUUAGUUGAAGCUUUGGUGUAAAUUCCCGAUUAUGCAAAGUUUAUGAAGUAUCUCAUGACAAAGAAGCAGUCAAUGAAUUUUGAAACUAUCAAAGUCACUCAUCAAGUGAGUGCAAUUGUGCAUUCAAUUACUCCUAAGUUAGAAGAUCCCGAUGCUUUCACGAUUCCUUGUACAAUUGGAAGUGCCGAGUUUGCAAAAGCUCUUUGUGAUCUUGGGGCAAGUAUCAAUUUGAUGCCAUAUUCAGUUUUCAAGACCUUGGAAAUUGGGCAACCAAGAACCACCUCUAUGAGAUUGUAAGUGGCCAAUCGUACUAUGAAGAGACCUUUGGGAGUGAUUGGAUAUGUCUUGGUUCGUGUUGAUAAAUUCAUUAUUCCAGUGGAUUUUGUCAUUCUAGAUGUUGAAGUUGAUUAUGAGGUGUCGAUUAUUCUUGGAAGACCUUUCCUUGCAAAGGGGAAGGCUCUUUGUGAUGUUGAAGCUGGAGAACUCACUUUUCGUGUUGGUGAUGAAAACAUGGUGGUCCAUAUGUGUAAGUCCAUGCGGCAAUCAAAUAGCAAUGAGGUGUGCUCUUUUGUGGACAUGGUGACCGAUGUUAUUAUGGAUGACACAAGUGCUAUGAUCAAUGUUGGUGAUAUGUUGGAGGCCGUCUUUCUCAACUUUGAUGAUGACGAGACGUAUGGCUUCAUGGAAUGUGUGAACUCUUUGCAAGAAAUGGGGUCGUACAAUUAUGCACCCCAAAAAUUAUCUUUGGAUCUUGAAAAUAAGACAACUCCCCCUACAAAGCCUUCCAUUGAAGAGCCUCCUACCUUGGAGUUGAAACCAUUUCCUCCACAUCUUCGGUAUGAAUUUCUUGGCCCUUGUUCUAAUCUACCGGUUAUUAUUUCCUCUUGUUUAAGUAACGUGUAGGUAGAUUCUACAUUGGUGGUGCUACAAAAGAGGGAGAAGGGUAUUGGGUGGACAUUGGAGGAUAUUCGGGGAAUAGGCCCCAUAUUUUGCAUGCAUAAGAUCAACUUGGAGAAAGGCGCCAAACCAUCUAUUGAACAUCAAAGGAGACUCAAUGAGGCUAUGCAAGAAGUUGUCAAAAAGGAGAUUAUCAAGUGGUUGGAUGCCGGGGUUGUCUACCCCAUCUCCGAUAAUUCAUGGACUUCUCCGGUUCAAUGUGUCCCGAAGAAGGGGGGCAUGACGGUGGUCACCAAUGACAAGAAUGAGUUGAUUCCUACAAGAAUGGUGUCCGGAUGGAGAGUGUGUAUGGACUAUCGCAAGCUCAACAAAGUCACAAGGAAGGAUUAUUCUCCACUUCCUUUCUUAGAUCAAAUGCUUGAUAGAUUGGUCGGCCGUGCUUUCUAUUGCUUUCUUGAUGGGUAUUCGGGCUACAACCAAAUUCUUAUUGCUCUAGAGGAUCAAGAGAAAACAACCUUUACAUGUUCCUACGGUACUUUCACCUUCAAGCGGAUACCAUUUGGUUUGUGCAAUGCACCGGCGACCUUUCAAAGGUGUAUGAUGGCUAUCUUCACGGACAUGAUGGAGGACUACCUUGAAGUGUUCAUGGAUGACUUCUCGGUGGUUGGAGAUUCUUUUGAUGAUUGUCUUGCAAAAUUAGAUAAAGUGUUGGCAAGAUGUGAAGAAAAUAAUUUGGUGCUCAAUUGGGAGAACUGUCAUUUCAUGGUCGAGGAAGGCAUUGUCCUUUGCCAAGAAAUCUCAAAGAAUGAAAUGGAAGUUGACAAGGUAAAGAUUGAGGUGAUUUCUAAACUUCCACCUCCAUCUUCGGUGAAGGAUGUGCGGAGUUUCUUAGGCCAUGCGGGGUUUUACCGGCGUUUCAUCAAAGAUUUCUCUUAGGUAGUGAAUCAGUUGUACAAGCUUCUUGAGAAGGAUGCUAAGUUCAACUUUGAUAAUGAUUGCAUGCGAGCUUUUGAAUUGUUAAAUUUCAAGUUGACAACUACUCCCAUCAUCACCGCUCCAAAUUGGAGUGUCCCUUUUGAACUCAUGUGUGAUGCAAGUGACGUAGUGGUUGGGCUGUUUGGGGAAAUGCAUCAACAAGAUUUUUCACCAGUCUACUAUGCUAGUAAGACCAUGAAUAGUGCCUAAGUCAACUAUACCGUUACGGAGAAAGAGCUCCUUGCCAUUGUGUUUGCAAUUGAGAAGUUUCGCCCGUACUUGAUGGGUACAAAGGUCAUUGUCCACACUUCGUUAUCUUAUGAGCAAGAAAGAUUCAAAAGCUCGGUUGAUGAUAUGGGUGCUUUUAUUGCAAGAGUUUGAUAUUGACAUCCAAGAUAGAAAAAGGAGUGAAAACCAAGUGGCAGACCACUUUUCUAGUUUGGAGGAGGAGGGGAGGCCGCAUGAUGGCCUUGAAGUCAAUGAUUCCUUCCCCGAUGAGCAACUCUUGGCUAUUUCAAUAAAAGAGGUGUUAUGGUUCGCGGAUCUAGCAAAUUUUCUUGUAUGUGAAAUCAUUUCGGAUGAGUUCUCUUCAAACCAAAGGAAGAAGCUCAAACGGGAUUGUCAAGAAUAUUAUUGGGAUGAACCAUACCUUUUCCGGAUUUGUACGGAUGGGGUAAUUUGAAGAUGUGUAUCGGAAGAAGAGCAAGAUAAAAUUCCUGGGACUUGUCAUUCUUCGCCAUAUGGUGGUCAUCAUAGUGGAGCAAGAACGGCGGUCAAAGUGCUAAGUUGCGGUUUCUAUUGGCCCGCUCUUUAUAAGGACGCUAGUGAGCUAGUGAAAAGAUGUAAUGAAUGUCAAAGGUCGGUGGAAUCUCAAAGAAAAAUGAAAUGUCUCUCACUACCUUUCGGUGCAUUGGACUUGAAGAACAAAAAUAAUGAAGUAUUUCGAGUCAACAGUCAUCGGGUGAAACACUAUUUGGGAAAAUUUGGAGAUAGCCACUUCAUGGCAGUCAUUCAUUUCAACUGAUGGUAUUAUGCGUCGUGUCGCGACGUUAAAUCAGGCGCUUCUUGGGAGGCAACCCAUGUUUCUAUUCUUCUUUUGUAGUUAGGUGUUAUUUUUGUGCUAACUUGAUUUGAAGUGUGCUACAAGGAUAAGUGUGACUUACAAGAAUUGUGGACAGAAAUCUGGCUAAGUGUUGUAAGAAUUACGGACCGUAGUUGAAUUGUGCAGACGGCAUGUUUAUAGUUGCUGCAGCAAAAGUGCACUUCGGCCGCACAAUUAUCUUGCGGACCGCACAAAUAGGAGGUGGAAAAUAUCAACACUCUGAAGUUUGGUCUGUCAAAGAAAAGGUCAAUUUGCGGCCGCAAAAGUAAAUCUGCGGUUGCAACAUGGAAUCUGUGGUCGCACACAAAAUUUUGCGGACCGCAGACAAGAUGCCAAAUUAAGCUCACCAGGUAACAGAGUGAGGACUGCACACGAAAUUGUGUGGCUGCACUCGCCCCUCCUCCCCUUGGAAAACCAAGUAGUAUAAAUAGAGGGCUAAGGGCAACUGUUACAUUUUUUUUCCCUCUCUGAGCACAAACACAAUAAUCUCUUGAAAUUUCUGGGUGAAUCUGUGUGUACACACAUACAACAUCUUUGAUCAGUCAUUCCUCACACUCAUUCAUUUGGUAUGCUUCAAUUUCUUGUUAAGUGUUUUUUUAAAUUUGUAGAAUUUUAGUCAUUUUUCGGCCAUUUGUCAAUAGAAUUCAAUUGUGCAUUCAUGUAGAGGUAAAUCUGUAGUGGGUUAACUAGUACAUUCUCUAUGGGGACUAGAUCAAUGCAUUUUCAUGCCUUUGUGCUGUUACCAUACCAAAAUUUGCAAAAAACGAAAUUGCAAAACCUAGAUAGACAUACUAGACCAUUCAUAAUUCUUUUGAAUUCUGCAGCCUAACCUGAAAUUAUGCGGUCCAUAGAAGUUGAUCUAGAGCAAAAUUAGUGAGGAAGGGGUUUGUGGCCACAAGGUAAAAUGUGCGUACCGCAGAAUUCCCGCUGCGGCCGCAGAACAACCUUUUUACCAUCAUCAGAGAGUCUACAAAAUUGUGACUCAAAUGUGCGACCGCCAGUCUAAUUGUGCGGACCGCACAAAUCAUGUUGCGGCCGCACAACAGCCAAAUAUCUGUCAUCAGAGAGUUGGCAUAUUUUAGACUUCUGAGUUACGGCCACAAGUGAAAUUAUACAGACUACACUUCACGUUUUUCGGCUGCAAGACAAAAUUAUGCAGUCCGCAAGGCCUCAUCUGCGGCCGCAAGAAAAUUGUGCGGACCGCGGAUCCUUAUCUUGCAAGCAUGAUUAAACUGUGACCCCCACUGUGUUCUUGGUUUAUACUUGCAUGUCUCCUUGUUUGACUGAACAUUAAAUUGCAACUAACAAUCGCUUCUGCUAGAUACAGAUAAUGGUUCGAUCUAGAGGCUGAGGUGACACUUCAAAAGGGAGGGGUGAACCUUCUAGAGGUCGAGGCAAGAGUAUCAUACCCCUCAGCCAACAAAGGAAAAUAACAAAGAAAGCUAAAACCGGUAGAGGGAGAGGUGCAGAUCUCUCCGAGACGAGCUCUUAUGUCCCUCUAGGGAAGAUUCAGAGGGCAACUCAGUCUCUGUUCAAAAGCAGUCGGUCGUACAGUCAAGGCCACAAGGAAGAUACCAACUCAGGGAUGAGUCAUCCUCAUCUCAUAGCACUUCUGAGGGAUCGAAAAGUGCUAGUCGAGCUUCUGAGCCAUCGGCUACACCUGUUCCUGAGGCACAAUAUACACCAAUUCAAGAUAUCCCCGAUGAUGGCAGAGGGGGUGAUGCUACAGCUCCCAGCCUUGAAUGGUCGAAAAACAAAGAGGUCUGGGAGGACCAUUUUGUUAGCUUGGGUGCCUUCACCAGCUUUCAUACUUGGUGGCCAAUGAGGUCGCUUACUCUUAAGCGAUAGUUUUAGUUGAAAGAUCUGGAGAAGUACAACCCAACAGUGUUGAGACAGUUCAAGGAACGCAAGGGGUGAAUGUGGUUCACCCAAAGUGUCAUGGAUUCCAAAGAGUACCUUGUCCAUGAAUUCUACGCCAAUGUGGCGCAUAUCAAAAAGGGGACAAAGGUCACCAAAGUGCGUAACCUCAAAAGAGAUUUGAUCAGCAUAAACUCAACACAUACUUGGGUUUUGAAGAUGUUGAGCCAAAGAAAUAUUUGGAGAAUUUUGAGAUGGGAGAUGCAUCCCGGCCUUGGUUAGCAGAGAUUCUAGCAACACCAGGGCCGCCACCACAAAGGAUUGCACUGGGGUUCCUAUCCACAGGAGCACACUGAGUUUCGAGGUGAAGGAGUGGCAAACCUUUGUCUGCAGCAGACUGAACCUGAGUCAAAAUGAGACUUACCUUCUGAUUCCUCGGGCAGUUGUGGUUGCUUCUAUUAUGGUCGGGUACCCUAUCAAUGUGGGGGUCGUGAUAUCGGCCAACAUCUCAGUGAUUACUCGGCAAGAUGACUCGUCCUAUCCGUACCCCAACACUAUUACAGAAUACCUCACAGAUGCAAGGGUAGAUCUGAGGGAUUAUGACACAAAGGUAAGGCUGAAGAAGCCUUUUACUUGGUAUUCACUGAUGGAUACGAACAACCCCAAAGAAUAAAGUUAAUCCUCCUACCACUGCGGGCCAGUCUGAUGAGCCAGCUUUGGUAGAUGUUGAUGCAGUUAUUGUUCCAUCCACUUCGGCCGAGCCUUCUUCCAGUGUCGUAGAUAUGCCUCCGCCAUCAUCCAUAGCCCGUUCGGCAGCUCCUGCUAUAGCUUCCACUUUCUGCGAUGCAAGUCUCCCAGACAUUGGCGAGCCUCAACAACUGGAUACAAAGAGCAACUACAAAGUUGUCUGACUUAUCCAAUACUGUUGCAGCACAGUCUACUACUCAGGCACCUCAGUUUGCCCCGACAGUUGAGGAGACAUUUAUGAAGAUCCUAGAGAACUAGACCAUCAAUAUGGCGACCUUGGUGCAGCAUAGGUCAAUGAUCGAAGAGCUGGAAAAAAGAAGUAAAGAAGAUGAGAAAGUCCCAGGCCAGCAAGAAGUCAGUGGACAAGCUCCAAAGACAGGUGACCAGGAUUGCUACAGCCGGAGAUCUUCCAUUUGACAUGCUGAUUGACCACACCAUUCAGGCCCAGAUCCUACAGCACCAACAGCACCGGUGGCAUCAGCUGGCUAGUCUGAGGAGACAAACCCUGCUGCCGACACUACCGAGGAAGUGCAUCAUAUGUUCACCAACCCGACCAUACCCAGAGUUGAGGAUGAUGAGAUUCAGUUGGAUGAGACUGAGGGUGGAGACAUUGAUGGGGACACAGAGAUGUCCAAGGAGCCAUAGGGAGUUUUCUUCACUCUUUCCCCUCUUUUAAUCUUGUUUUGUUAAGAAGUCCUACUUGAUUUCAAGUUGAGUGAGCUUACAUUAGUGGCGAUCUACAUGAGGGGCAAGCCUAUGGUACUUGAAGUCGUACUUGGACAUUCUCUUGAGAGAGAUGAGUGAGUCUUUCAUAAAUCUUUGGAUUGAGUGCUAAACUUCUUAAGUAAGCUAGUUGAAUGAAAAGUACAGAAGGAAGAGUUUGGAGUCCACCAUGACCUACAUGAUAGAGCAAGAGUCCUUGAUGAGUAAAGUCAAUUCUUGAAGCUCGAAUGUCACAUUAGAACUAUAUGUGCAUGAAUGUUUAACUUGUCGCCUUGUUGAUAAUACAUGAGUAGUGUGGGUAAUUGUUGGUCCCAACUGAUGUGUGGAUAACUCACCUUUGACUUGCUGAAAUGUCCCUUAAUUUUUGGAGGUGGGAACUAAUUCAUUUGCUUGAGGACAAGCAAAGAUUUAAGUUUGGGGGAGUUGAUACGUGGGGAUUUUGACUGCUUAUCAACGCCUUUUAGCUUUUGUUUUAGUCCAAAAGUAUUGAAUUGUGUUCCCGCAACUAAUAAAAUUGUGCGAAAUUGCAGGAAUGAUGGAAAAUGGCCUCCCGAGAUGCAAUCCGACUCAAAAAGGAGUAGUCUAAAGCACAAGGCAAUAAAGGGCACAGAAACACAAAUGUGCAGUCCGCAAUAGGAAUUAUGCGGUCGUAAACCAAGAGGAAGAAUUUAGCAGAAAUGUGCGCAAAGUACAGACCGCACAUGAAUUGUGCGGCCGCAAAGCUAGGCUAAGAGUUGAAGAUCAGAGAGUAUGCAAAAAGACCAAGUCCAUGAGCCUAUGUGAAUUGCGGAUCACACAAGAAUUGUGCGACCGCGGAAGAGUUGCCUUGCGGCUGCAGUCCUAAUUGUGCGGACCGCAGAAGAUUUGCCUUGCGGCCGCAACAUAGAAAUGUUCGACCAUAAAAGAUUGCUUCGCGGCCGCAGAACUCCACUUCCUUCCAGAUGAAGAAAUCUGCAGACUGCACAUGGAAUUGUGCGGCCGCAUAACCUCCCGAGGGGUAGUUUUGUCCGACAUUUUCAGCAUUGUAUAAAUAGAAGAGUUUCACAAAAUUAGGUUAUGUUUUGAACAUCUGAAGUUGCUGUAGCCGUUUUCUUACUACUUUAGGAAGUUUUACUUUGCUUUGGUGUAUUUAUAUUAGAUUUAAUCAUUUUAAGCUUCCAUUAUGAGUUUAAUUAGUUUUUCUUUCAUAUUUUCUUCAAAUCCCAUUAUGAGUAGAUAGACUUUUACUAGAGUUGUGACCCAACCCUAGUGUGUAAACCUUAUGGGUAUCUAAUUUAGUGCUUAUUUAUGAUUGGGUAUUGAUUAUUUAGUUGGGUUCAUGCUUUAAUUGUAGAAUUAAUGGUUGCAAAUAUUAGUUCAUGCCUAUUUGACUUAGUCUCUACUUGAGAAAGAGGGACCUAGUCUAGGAUAACUUAGCUAACAAAGAAUUGGGUCAAUUGAGAGACUGAUGAACCCAAUUAAAGGGUUCAACCUAGAGAUAGUAAUAACCCGACUUGAGCUCUUAUCAACUGUCUUGGGUGAUACCCAUUUGGUCUUGAGAAAGCUAAAUUGGGCAUAACCACUCUUUGACCGAGAGGUAUUGAGUGGGUAAUGUAGAGUUGAGAGCUAUAAUACACCCCAAUCAACAAAAUAAGCAUUGACGUUUUUAUCCCAUUGGGCAAUCACCUGGGUUAUGGUCAUAGCCCUAGGCCUUUUACCCAUUUGGAAAACCCUAAAAACAAAUAUCUCUAGUAUAUUUUCUUUAUCUUGCAAUUAUUAUUAACAUUAGAAAUAGAAAACAAAUCCAUGAUGUGGAAGUGCAAUUUAGAUAAUCUAAUUGCUCAUUUGAAAUAUAUAUACCCCUAACUCCCAUCUUAGCUCCCAGUGGAUUCGACCUCGACUCCAAGUUGGGUAUUUAUUAUUGCAUACAACCAUUUCAUAUCUCUAUUGAGGUGUGCUUUGGACGUGAUCAACUAGCUAUCAACAUGAUUUUCGGAGGGAGUGAAAUCAACAGUGUAGCUUUCUCGGCGGCCAUGAAAAUAAAGGUAUCAGUGACACAUAGCAAGAGACUCUGGGAAGUCGCCGAGGAUGAUAUCACCUUCACGGAGGAAGACGUCAAUGGACUCCUUCUGUCGCACAACGACGCGCUGAUAAUUUAUCUUAAUGUUAUAGAUUUCAAGAUUAUACGUGUUUUGGUUGACCCAAAAAGUUCAGCCAACAUCAUCCAAUGGAGAGUGUUGAAGCAAGCCAAAUUAACCGGAAGUAUCAUUACGGCAACAAAACUCCUUGACGAGUUCAAUUUGGCGAGUGUGACAACCCGAGGGGAGAUCCUGCUACCCAUGAACACCAAAGGGGUCACGAAGACCACCUUAUUUGAGGUGGUGGACGGCAACGUGGGCUAUAACAUAAUCCUCGGUAGACCAUGGUUACAUGAGAUGAAGGUUCUACCAUCAACAUAUCACCAUCUACUGAAAUUCCCGACCCCAUAGGGAAUUAAGCAAAUAAGCGAAGACCAAUCUGUAGCGAGAGAAAUGAAUGCAGUAUUGGUUUCUAGCACUAAAGGGAAGGAACUCGACAAAUAGUAAUUACAGGAACCGACGCAUACUCCCGAGCCAAGCAAAGAUGAUAAAGGAGAGGAGUCAUCGUAAUCCCACCAGGUACAGAGAUACUUUCAGGUACAGGAAGAGACAGACGCGACCAAGUCCCCGGCAGAAGAACUCAAACAAGUGGCUUUGUUUGAGGAAUUCCUGGAGACAAAAUUUCACUUGGGGACAUGACUCAACCCCGAGCUCAUGUUAGGAUUUAUUAAUUUCCUUAAAACUAACAUCGAUUGUUUCGCAUGGUCGCACGCGGAUAUGACAAGUAUCCCACUAGAGGUGGUCGUCCACAAGCUAAGCCUGGACCCAAGCGUCCCACCGGUAAGGCAGAAGAAGCGCUUGAUAGCUGAGGUCAGAAACAUAUUUGUUAAAGAAGAGGUAACUCGACUACUUGAUAUUAGUUCAAUCCGGGAAGUAAAGUAUCCCGACUGGCUAGCUAAUAUAGUUGUAGUUUCAAAAAAGAAUAACAAAUUUCGAAUGUGUGUAGAUUAUAAAGACUUGAAUAAGGUGUGCCCAAAAGACUCGUUCCCAUUGCCGAACAUCGAUAAAAUGAUAGAUGCAACGACAAGACACGAGUUAAUGAGUUUUAUCGAUGCCUAUUCUCGAUAUAAUCAAAUUAAAAUGAACCCGAAGAAUCGGGAAAAACUUCGUUCAUAACAAACUUUGGCACAUAUUGUUAUAAUGUGAUGCCCUUGGGGCUUAAAAAAGCUAGAGCCACUUAUCAGAGGCUCGUGAACAAGAUGUUCGAGAAACAAAUAGGUAAAAUAAUGGAAGUAUACAUAGAUGAUAUGUUGGUCAAGUCCUUCAAUGCAGGUGACCAUUUAAAAUACCUCUAAGGAAACCUUCGAUAUCUUGAGGAAGCACAACAUGAAACUCAACCCCAAAAAAUACGUGUUUGGGAUUAGCUCCGGUAAGUUUUUGGGUUUCUUGGUUUCACAAAAGAGGGAUUGAGGUAAAUCCCGAUAAGAUCAAAGCCAUCGAGGACAUCCCAGACAAGCUGACAAGCAAGAAAGAAGUCCAAAGGCUAACCGAAAGAUUAGCCUCUCUAAGCAGGUUCAUCUCUCGAUCUUCGGGAAAAUGUCACACUUCUUCUCACUUCGGAAGAAGAAGAAAAAUUUCAAAUGGACUCUAGAAUACCAACAGUCCUUAAAAGACCUAAAACGUUAUCUAUCAAGCCCUCUGCUACUAUCCAAACCGGGGGAAGGCGAACAUUUGCUUAUAUACUUAGCGAUCUCAGAGGUAGCGAUAAGUGUCGUUCUAGUCUAGGAGGACAAAGGUACGCAAUCUCCUAUCUAUUAUGUUAGCAAAAUUUUGUCAGGACCGAAAACUCAUUAUCCGCACCUCAAAAAACUAGCCUUAACUCUCAUAGUCACCUUCAAAAUCUUAGGCCUUAUUUUUAGUGUCACCUGAUAGCCGUUGUGACAACCUUUUCCUUGCGGAAUGUCCUUCACAAACCUGAGUUGUCGGGUCGGUUGGCCAAAUGGGUAGUUGAAAUUAUUGAAUUUGAUAUUGAAUAUAAGCCCAGGACUGCGAUCAAAUCACAUGUUCUGGCCGACAUUGUGGCUGAUUUCAGUCUCGGGUUUCUAUUUUUGGCUACAAAAGAAGCAGUGAUGGUGUCGAAAACAACGUCAGAAGUUUGGAUCUUGUUCACAGACGGAGCUUCCAAUAUGAAAGGGUCUGGGCUCGGGGUGGUCCUAAUCACUCCUUCCGGGGAAACUUUGAGGCAGGCCAUAAAAACUAUUCCUUUAACUAACAAUGAAGCCGAGUAUGAGGCAUUGAUUGCAGGACUCGAACUAGCCCGGGGACUUAGCUUCGAGGUCAUAGAGAUCAAAUGUGAUUCACAACUGGUAGUAAACCAAGUAUAUGGGAUCUUUGACACAAGGGAGGAAUGCAUGCAACAAUAUGUGAUUAGAGUUCAAACCUUGCUCACACGGUUUAGGGAGUAGUCGAUCACCCAUAUCCCGAGAGAAGAAAACGUAGAAGCAGAUGCAUUGGCCAAUUUGGUGUCAUCCAUGGAAAUAAAAGGAUCAGAUUUCGAUACUUUCAAUCAGCUUAUGCAUUCGGUACUAGGUGUGGACGGCUAUUGUGAAGUAAAUACAACCAACCUAGUAUGGUACUGGAGGAAUGAAUUCAUCGAUUACCUUCAGCAUGGCAAGCUGUCCGAAGACCCGAAGGCAUCCCGGGAAAUACGCACCAAAGCGGCUCUCUACAGCCUCUAGGGUGGACAGUUAUAUAGAAGGUUGUUCCAAGGCCCGUUGGCCCGAUGUUUAGGAGCCUCGGAGGCAAACUACAUCAUGAGAGAGGUCCAUGAAGGAAUUCGCGGGAACCAUUUCGGUGCAGAUUCGUUGGUGCUAAAACUAGUUAGAGCAGGAUACUAAUAGCCACGGAUGAAACAAGAAGCAAAGGCAUUCGUUCAGAAAUGCGACAAAUGUCAGCGCCAUGCACAGUUGGUGCACCAACUGGCAGAACUCUUGCAUUCGGUACUAUCCCCAUUGCCAUUCAUGAAAUGAGGGAUGUAUAUAGUUGGGUCGCUGCCAACGGGUCCCAGGAAGGUAAGAUUUCUUUUAAAUUUAACCGAUUACUUCACUAACUGGGUUGAAGUAGGUCCUUACCAAAAUAUCGGUGAGCGCGAAGUGGUCGACUUCCUAUAGGAAAAUAUAAUUUUUCGGUUCGAAAUAUCGAAGGAGAUUGCCUGUGAUAACUGGCCACAGUUCAUAGGCUCCAAAGUCACAAACUUUCUUGAAUACCUAAAGAUUAAUAGGAUUACAUCUUCACCAUACCAUCCGAGCGCUAAUGGGUAGGAGGAAUCAACCAAUAAAGUGAUUAUUCAAAACCUCAAAAAGAGGUUGCAAGCAACCAAAGGUAAGUGCCCCGAAGAGUUACCGGGCGUGCUAUGGGCGUACCAGAUGACGGCAAAAUCAAGCACGGGAGAGACACCUUUCUCUCUCGUAUACGGUGCAGAAGCUCUGCUCCCGGUGGAAGUAGGAGAACCAACCUUACAGUACUUCCGAACGUAUGAAGAAGCAAAUAAUGAGGCAUUGCUGGUCAAGAUGCAAUUGCUUUAUGAACAAAGGACAUAGCAUACAUAAGAAUGGUGGCUCAAAAACAAAGGAUGGAAAGAUACUAUAACCGGAGAGCCAAUCUCCGCUACUUUAAAGUAGGAGACUUGGUUUUGAGGAAAGUAACUCAUAACACUCGAGAGAUCAACGCUGGAAAGCUGGGUCCGACGUGGGAAGGUCCCUAACGGAUUUCAGCUGUCACCGGGAAGGGAUCAUACGAAUUGAAGAAUCAAGAUGGAGUCAAAUUUCCAAGCAACUGGAACGUGACUCACCUAAAAAGGUAUUACUGCCGAUGGAUCCUACUUAUACUGAAAGUAUGUGCUACACUUCUUUUCCCUUCGACCAAUUUUUGUCUCAAUCGAGUUUUUCUGGCAAGGUUUUUAACGAGGCAUCAACGGAAAGCAUACUACGAAGGGAGCAUCAUCAGCAAUGAUAAGACCUUUAAAUGUCAAGCACUAAAACAACAAGCCACUAUGGGAUGGUUAGAUAGUAUUUGGCUCGAUGGCGAAGUUCCUAACGGGAAACGAAGCUUGUCAUCGGACCAAAGAUUAUCCAACCGUUCACAAAUAUUUUUCUUCAAAUGAGCAAGACUUCUAUUAUUCCAAUUCGCAUACUUUGCAUUCGAACACUGGGGGGAAUAGUAUAAGAAUAUGACAACAUGAUUGCCAAAAAAAUUGGGAUUGCGAGACUCAGGAACAAUAAUGUCUCAUAGGACCGGGGACUACACGGCUAGCCCCGUAUAAACAAGUUGUACUAAUUAGCCACAUGUAUUGGCAAUUUCUUUUUUUCUUAGCAAUCAAAUGCUUAUGUACUUUUAAAGAUAGAAGGAAUAAAAUAAAGUCAUUUUGUUUUUAUCUUAUUUCUUGUCCAAACGAUGAAUUGAUUUUAUCAUUUGAAAGUUUACUAAAAACUUCAAAUGCUAGUGACAGAAUGAACAAGAGACAUCCUCUCCAAGAGCACCGUAAACAUAAGAGGGCCCUCUCUUAUGAAACCCUCAUAGUAAAGGGUUAGUUCCGGAAGAAUUUAUGCCCGGAACCCAAAAGCUAUCGGAAGAAAACACAUUUGAAGCCUUACCUAAUUCGACGCAAAAAGAAUGAACUUUGUGCAAUGCUUAAACAAAAAGUCCUUUUUAUUUAUCAAACAUGCCAAACAGCAUAAGUGCAAAAAUACAAAGGGAAAACAACAAAAGAAAAAAGGAAAAAGCUAAACUUCAUCGCCACCGAAACUCGAGGAAGAGAGUCAUCUACGCCCUUGGGAGAAGUAGGUGGAUCUGUUGCCGGUGCAGGAUCUUGGCCCUUAUCAGCAUCCUCUUCAAGUUCCUCCUCAGUCCCCGAAUACUCGGUGCCAGUACUAGAAGGUCCAGUUAUGUUGGACCAAGCCGGGAGACGUUCUCGAGCAGUUAACUCCAGUGCUCAGGCCUUGGUAAUAUCAUCAUCAAUAUCAAUAACGCCUGUUGUGGCCUCCUCCAAGGUUUUCCUCCUCAUAUGGUACAUAGAGUAUGUCUUUUCAAAGAUUGGGGAAUCCCCUUGGUGCUGGAGCAUUGCCUUGAGCCUGUCAACCUCAACAAAAAGGCCAUCCCGCUCGGUUCUCAUGGAACCAAGGCUAAGAUCGAGAUCACGGAUUGUAGAUAUGUGAGCCCUAUUUUGAUCCAUGAUCUUCUUAUACCAGCUUACAUCCGAGCCUGCUUCUCCUCGGCAGCAGCAACCUCUUCAGUUGUGGAGUUCAAGGCUGCCUCCAAGUUAUUUGCUCGUUCAAUGGAGGCACACUCGUGCUCGGUAGCAGCAAGAGCAGCAUCUUGAGACUCAGCCCACCUAGACUUAGCAUCUUAAAGUUGAGCAUGUAGCUGAGUGGCUUCUUGACUACGAGUCAUCGCCUCAUGCUCACUUUGCUGCAACCGAGCCUUAAGCUCGACAGUUUUAGCAGACUUUGCCUCUAGCACAGGGAGGCGUGCAGCGAGUUGAUUCCUCUCGGCCAAUAGUUGAUCCCGCUCGGACAUGAGUCCUUCUUUAUCAAGUAUCAAUAUCUGAAGGUCUUCGGAAGUGAGGAAGUUGCCUGUAAACCUGUAUCAAAGUCAGAAACCCUGUUAUAACAGACGAAUAAAAACAAACAGUGAGAGAACAAGUAUGGUACCGCUGCCGCAUUAUGCAUAGCAUUAUUCAACAUACACUCUCCUGAAAGAGAGUAUUUUCUUCUUAUCUUUUUUUGAAGCCAGCGGCUUUAGAUAGUUGGCAAGCUCUACCAGCCUGGAUAGCAGAUGGCACUUCUUUGAAACCGAGGGAGUGACGCUCCUCCUCCCUCGGGGAUCUGGAGAAGGGGGUGAGUAGUUGUGCCCUAAAUUCCCAUGGUCAGGGGACUUGGGAGGGGAUACAUCUUCUUCUCGGGCACCUGCGGCCGGUGCAGGAGAUGCAACAGUUUCUGGUGAUGAAGGCACAGCUAGUGUGGAGGGAGAUGAAGCUGAUGGUGUUAUGGGUUGAGAAGUAGUUGCGACAGAGGCAGUGCUGAUUAUUGGUUGCUCAUCAACCAAAGGCAGAAGAGGCUAGGUAUUCGACCUCAUAGGACUGGAAGCAACAACUGGGACCGGAAAGGGAGAAUCGACAUUCUUUACUAAAUCUAUUUCUCCCUAGAGCGCUUGGACCUCGCCCUCGAUUGGGGUUCUGAGCUCUCCAGAUUGAGCAUUAUGUUGAGCUGAUGAAGAUCGUUGUCUCCAUUGAAGGGGAUCCUCUUCAUCAUUAGCUUCCCCGUCAUCAUCAAUGACCAUAGUGGUUGUGACCGGCUCGGGCGUGGCCUUCUUUAUUUUCUUAUUUCUAUUCCAAGCCGAUGAAGAACUCUGCCUUUUUGGUUGGUUGUUCUCUGGCUGGGGACUCUGAGAGGAAGCACCUGCACCGGAGGCAGAUCUGAGGGCACCACUCCGAAUAAGAGCCUCUUGCAACAACCUCGCAGCCUCUGCAGGAUCAGUCAAAACCUCGACAUCGGGGCAGGUAACAAAACCUUGCGGGAGUCCUGAAUAAAACAAAAAGGUACAGUUAGCAAAGUAUGUUUAUGUAUAUGCAGAGGCGGAAAGUAGAAAGAAUCUGUUUACCAUGGUUCUUGGCCUUCCACCCGUAUUUGGGGGCCAACUCCUUCCACCGACGGGUAUCUGGCAUAGUAAUAUCCAAAAUCUUCUGAACCCAUUGGUCCAGGCCUUCAACCCCUGGUGGUGUCCAAUGAGUAGCUAAAAUAACGGAAGUAAAAGGGUUAGCAAUGACAUGGAACAAGCUUUUACGAAGAAAGAGAUAGAUUAUAAACUUACGUGAACGACUCUAAGAUUCGGGAAAAGAGGGAGUUAUGUCCGGGAUGAUAUCCCUGGUAGCAAUGAUGACAAAUCGCUCCAUCCACCCACAAUCAUUGUCAUCAUCCACGCUGGUAAGCAAAGCAUGGUGUCCACGCUUGCUAAAAUUUAUCACUCCCCCAUGGAAGAUUUUGGAGGAGUAGAGGUUCAUCAUAUGUGCCAGGGAAAAGGUCUUCCAUGCCUCCAAGCAUAGCCGGCACAGACUAGCCACCAUUCGCCACACAGAAGGAUCUAUUUAUGCCAAGCAAACCUGACACCGAUGGCAGAAUUCCAAGAUCACGAGGUCAAGUUCCCCGCUCAAUGAAAAUGAGACCAAAGUGAAGGGGUACAUAUAAACAUACGUAAAACCAUUCUUGGCGAAAGUAACCUGCUCUACCAAGCCAGGAGCGAUGAUAUUUAGUUCAUGGCAGUCACAAUCCUCCUUCACAGUAGGAAUACUGGAAGGGCGGAUAGAAGAAUAAUACCUACUAAUAGCCCAAGUUUGAGGGUUUGUAGAGGGAAACUUCUCUUGGAAGUCGUUGGCGGUACUCAUGUGUUUAGGUAUGAUAGUGCUUAUCGUGGGGGGAUCAGCAUCAGCAUCAACCUCUUUAUCUUUGCCUAUCUUCGAGCCUCCACCGAAGAGAAGACCGGAGUUCUUGAAAGAUUUAGUAAAAGAAGCCAUAAUGGUAAGAAGAUGAUAGAGUCCUUAGAAGAAGAUUAGAGAGAGAGAUGAAAGUAGAAGGAAGUCAAGUGCAAACAGGAUAAAAGAUCUUAUGAAGUUGUUAGAAGUGAAUGAGGCAAAAUGGUACGUAUAAGUAAAGAUAUACGCAGCUAAAAUCGUGGUAAUGAUUACCUCGAGAUUCGGCAAAAAUAUUAUUGAAUCGUGGGGCAACAGGUGUUCGGGGUAUUAAAUGCGAGGAGACGUGCAUCUUAUCAAAUGUAAGAGAUUGUUCAGAGGGGAUCAAAAAAAAUUUCGCCAAGAAAGGAAUCUUUACCAACUUCCCGAUGACACAAAGAUGUGCCACCAAAAAGCAGGGAGACUAUCUGUAUAGGGUAAAAUUGGUUUAUAUUAAAUAAUCGAAUAAUUGCGUGACACGUGAAAACGGAGACAAACGGAAGAUGUGUCGAGUAAUAACCGAGACCGGGGGCAACAACUGCAGUUAGUGUCAGAUAGAUCCCGAACGGAGCAUAAUCAACGGGGGCAAAACGAAUGUUUGUCACUAGAUGGCAUUUAAUAAAGAAUAUUCAUUAAUAUUAAAUAGGCAACCAUUGCAGAUAAUUUUGGCAUUCAUGGCCUGCCGUUAUACCUUCAUCAAUGGCCUCCCUUUAUUGUCAUUCAAGAGGGGCUUGAUCCUAGGAUCUUGUUCCCUAGAUAGAGCUAUAAACAGUGGCUUCAAUAACCAUUGCCAGGGACGAAAUCUCUGGCAAAACUUAUGUUAUACUUUAUUCUCAAGCUAAAUAAUAUAACUUUAGUUUUGUGUUUGACAUUGCUCUUACUGCUGUCCUCGGAAGCAUUGCUCCCGGAGCUAGGCUUGCUAUUUGCUUUGAUUCUAACGCUACGUCUUAUUUUUAAUUUUAUUUAUUUAUUAUUUUGGAUAAAAUCAGUCCGCUUGUCUAUAAAUCAUGCAACAAAUUCAACUGUACCGUUUUACGGGUAAAUAAUGUGUUCAAAAAUCAGUAAAACAAAAUAAGAACAAACUAAAAAUAAAACAGCAAACAAUAAGCAUUAUAAAAUUGUUUAUUUCUUAUCAAUCCUUAAUAGUACUAUGAAAUGUUCUAUUUCUAAAGUAAAGUUUUAAAUUAUUAAUCACACCAUUUAUUAUACUUUCAAAGUCUACUCCGAUAAUACAAUGUUAAGUCAUUGUAUGUUAUAGAAUGACUAAAUCCUUACUUCUAAAAUUGAUAGUGGUGGUGGUGUUGUUGUUGCUCCACAUUUGAUGCUUACAGAGACCUUCAUCCGCUACUUUAUCCGCUUCUUCAGUCGUAAAUAUUUUUAUACCGGGCCUCGUACCUCACUUGAACAACACCAGAUACGUAUGCAAAUUAUCAUUAUUUUUAUGAACAAAGAAUGUAUCUUUUCCCUUGUUGGAGAAAAACUAAGCAUGUAAGUAAUGGGCAGCUGCCUCAGCGAGCAUGUUAAUUGACCUCAUNNNNNNNNNNNNNNNNNNNNNNNNNAACCAAUGGUUGGGGUAGGUCUGUUUAAUAAUGGUUUAUUGUAAAUCAAUAGUCGAGCGACGAAUAAAUUAUAAACUUGGGUUAAAAAUUACAGAACUCAAACUACACAAUAAUGAUGAAGAAGAAGAGAUUUGACCACUGACCAAUUGAUCCGAGGACAAUAAAUAUCCCUUAGAAGUACUUUCCAAUCUAUUGCACUGCCAUAUUAACCCCCAAAACGACAAAUUCGAGCUCCCUUGCCAAAUGGAGUUGACUGCUAAGGAGCUAAAAAUAUGGUUUUGAGAGGAAAGAAGGAAGAAGGAAAAAAGUGGAGUGGAGCUCUAUGCGCAAAAUGGAGAAAAAACACAAGCUAAAAUGGAUAACAAUGGCAGAUUUGGGUGCAGGAAGAGGAAGAGGAAGAAGAGGGUGGGAAUGAGAGAUAAUGGAUUUUGGAGAAAAAAAUUGUAUUUUUUUAUCUAUAUAUGGUGAUUAAUGUGUAAUAAUUGAAACUUUGAGGCUGGGUCAGAACUUCCCACUAUGCACUUAUUAAUCGCAAUCACCCACUAAUGAUAAUUAAUGAAGAAAGUCACAUUUACAUAACUUGAGGGUCUUUCUGCCAAAUCAAGUUAAUACGACAUAUUGCCCAACUCACCCAAGUCUCUAUAUAAUUAUAUAAUUAUAUAAUAUCUAUGAUACUAGAUCCAUUACUAGUAGAAAACUAAAAAGAAUCUCUUGGUGACAGGUGCAAUGACGUGGCAUAAUUAUAUCCGUUUCUGGGUGCUUGGCUGUUCUCUG